rnacentral:pre_miRNA from 1 species
GGUCUGCAGGCUGGCUGGUCCCCAGGUUGCUAGGCAAAUAUCUCUUCAAAAGGCUCACCCUCAAGCACAACUAGGAGU